AACGCGAAGAACCUUACCCAGGCUUGACAUCCCGAAAAGGUCUCUGAAAGGAGAUUGUGCCGUAAGGAAUUCGGUGACAGGUGAUGCAUGGCCGUCUUCAGCUCGUGUCGUGAGAUGUUUGGUUAAGUCCAUCAACGAGCGCAACCCUUAUGUUUAGUUGAAUUUUUCUAGACAGACUGCCCUGGUAACAGGGAGGAAGGAGGGGAUGAUGUCAGGUCCGUAUUUCCCUUACGCCUGGGGCUACAAACACGCUACAAUGGCCAGUACAAAGGGCAGCCAAGUCGUGAGACGGAGCAAAUCCCAUCAAAGCUGGUCUCAGUUCAGAUAGCAGGCUGAAACUCGCCUGCUUGAAGCCGGAAUCGCUAGUAAUGGUAGGUCAGCACACUACCGUGAAUACGUUCCCGGGCCUUGUACACACCGAUAGC
rnacentral:rRNA from 1 species